GGAGAGUGAGCUCAGUGGUAGAGCUCAUGCUUAGCAUUCACGAGGUCCUGGGUUCAAUCCCCAGUAUCUCCU
rnacentral:tRNA from 1 species